AGUCUUAUAUUCAUUAAUGAUUUAAAAUUGCAAAUUUUAAGGUGUAUAUAUUAUACUAAGGCUU
rnacentral:tRNA from 1 species